rnacentral:rRNA from 1 species
GAUGAACGCUGGCGGCGUGCCUAAUACAUGCAAGUCGAGCGAACAGACGAGGAGCUUGCUCCUCUGACGUUAGCGGCGGACGGGUGAGUAACACGUGGAUAACCUACCUAUAAGACUGGGAUAACUUCGGGAAACCGGAGCUAAUACCGGAUAAUAUAUUGAACCGCAUGGUUCAAUAGUGAAAGACGGUUUUGCUGUCACUUAUAGAUGGAUCCGCGCCGCAUUAGCUAGUUGGUAAGGUAACGGCUUACCAAGGCAACGAUGCGUAGCCGACCUGAGAGGGGGAGCGGCCACACUGGAACUGAGACACGGUCCAGACUCCUACGGGAGGCAGCAGUAGGGAAUCUUCCGCAAUGGGCGAAAGCCUGACGGAGCAACGCCGCGUGAGUGAAGAAGGUCUUCGGAUCGUAAAACUCUGUUAUUAGGGAAGAACAAAUGUGUAAGUAACUAUGCACGUCUUGACGGUACCUAAUCAGAAAGCCACGGCUAACUACGUG